AGGGGUGUAGCUCAGAGGCAGGGUACUCGCCUACCAUGUAUGAGGCCCUGGGUUCAAUUCCCAGAACUCCCC
rnacentral:tRNA from 1 species